UUUUAGUGCAUGGAAUUAGAUUCGAUAUGAUAAGAUUAAUGUGAGUAAUGAAAUGAUUUUGAGAAAAAAUUUUGGUUAAGAAAAAUGUGAGUAAUGAAGGAAGCAUAGGGGAAAGCAUUUGCCACGGAGGAUUUCGAGCGGUUUACUCUGAAAUAAGGCAAUUCACGAUUCAAAACCUACUUUGGCUAUAAAUUGAUUUGGUCAUUCUUAUUUCAGCGUGCAUGAAAUAAGAGUCAGAAAAUCUAAUACCUGUAAAAAGUGCAACAGCUAUCGAAACCAGCGAAUCUCAUUCUGAUU
rnacentral:lncRNA from 1 species